UGUGUGUCUGUUGUUGACCACACCGAGAGUUGCAGAGAUUUUUUUUUUCCUUUUGUUACCCGAACAGUUGGUCGCACUGGUGCGACCAAAUAUUUUUUUUAGUCGCACCAUUGAAAAAUUUGGACCAAAUUGGUUGCACUCUAGAGCCCUGCUAAUGCAGAUGAAGUUCAUUCUGAAGUUCAAAGAGAACAAAAAAGAACAGCACCUUCAGUUGUGUCUUCCUUCCUGUCUUAAUUUGGUGGCUGUUGUUCUCUGUGUUGUGUGUCUGAGUUUCUGACAUGUUGCUUGAGUGAGGAGUACUAUUACUUCUGAAGUGGCUCUGAUCAUGCGACUUUCAUGAUGAUAAGUUCAGAGCCAGCUGAGAGCCUUGUUGUCUGAUUUGUUUUAGGUGAUAAGGCAGAAAAAAUUGAAAAUUAGUUUCUUGUUUUGGGUGUAGAAGAGGAAAAAGUCUCACCAAGCAAUAAUAAUAAUAGGAAAAAGCUUUUGUGUUUCUCAGCCAAGAAUAACUACAAUCUCACUUUCUGUUUUUAAGAAAGGAGAAUUCAGAAACCAGAGAGAGGAGAUGUGUUGUUUAAGCAGUAAUGAGAAUGAUGAAAAUGUCUCUGUCACGGCCUGGAGGUUCAGCUGGUCGCUGAUCAGCUGUUUCUCUCUCUCUCUCUCUCUCUCUCUCUCUCUCUCACCAGGGCGGAACUCAUUACGGGUUCACGCCCUUGGCCCAUGCCCUCAGAGGAGGAAACACCUGUGCCUCAUCAGUGUGGAUGGCAUUUAAGCCAGGAAGCAACAGCUGUUCUUUGCUGGAUCGUUGUGAGAAUCUCACCCUCUGGACUGUUUUCCCUGGUGUUCCCUGAGCGGCGAGUGUUCGAGUGGAUUCGUGUUUGGAUUCUUUGGAGAGAGACGAGAGUGUUCACCUGGAUUUCCCCCGAGCCCUGCCCCUCUCACCUUUUGUAUAUAGCACUGCCCCGCACCUUUGGUAUAUACAUUCAUUGGACAUUGUACAUUAAUAAAUUCUCUUGUGUGCAUCAAUCCCUGGAGUCCAGCGCGUGAGUCCACCUUGUACACCGUGGCUGUCUCAGUGUGUCACUUGCAGGUUAAAAGCAGACCUGGAUCAAUUUUCCACAUGCAGCGGUCGGAAGAAAACUAUAGGUUAACACCAUUGGAAAUGUUCAGGCCAAGUUUCUGGCUGAAUUAUUUACAGCGCCAUGUGUCCCUCAUCCUAACAAACGAGCUCUCACUCCUCUCUGAAGACAAGGAAUGCAGUUCCAAAGAGCAACAACAUGGCAGUCUAAAAGACAGCAGCAGAGUCCUGAGCAGAGAGACCCAGCAAGCAAUAGCAGUGUGUGCAAACGGCAUCAGAGAAGAAGAGAAAACCCAUCAUCCUGACUGACUGGAUGGAUGGCACUGUGUUUCCAACAAGCUAGAACUUCACUGUGUGUGAAGGACCUUUGAGGAGACUGAGUUUCACAUUUGCCAUGUUUGAAGUGAAAUGGCAAUGAAAGAGACAGUGGGGGGUUGCACAGGACGAAGCUGUUCUGCUGCUACACUGCUUUGAAGUUGGAGAGGAGACCAAGGUGCAAGAAGGAGGAGGUGGGGGCACAGAGGAAUGCUGUUAUUUAUUAAUGUGGGAAAUCAAAUUUGGUUUAGCAACCCUGGGUAAAAGAAAACUGACUGCUUUAAGUGGGAAAAUUGAGAAGGAGUCUGAAACACUGCAAAGAGAAACGUAUAUAAAAACACACACAAACAGAAAAUGCAUUGUUUUUCUUUUUGAAAUGGCGUCAUAUUGCUCACGGUGAGAAACUUAAUGUGACGAUAGAUUCCACUCAGCACUUCCAAUCAGCAACGAAUGAAAAAAUGGGGGACCUGACUGGACUGAUAGGAGUUGACUGACUUGACUGACUUAACACCGACAUUCUAGUUUGGAUGAGCUUCAGGCCGUGCCAACCUAAUCUUUUUAAUUGCCACUUUCUGUGUCUGUGAAUUUACCAGCGGUGUGUUAUUCAUGACCUUGUAUUGCUCAUAAUGCAGAAGUCACUGUGAGAAAGUGUGCAUACACCUGUGCUGCGCUAACAUUUACAUCACCUUUUCUACAGCAGAGUGUUAACCAUGUGAUUUGAUCAUGUGAUUUACAGUAGGACACACCACUGGUUAAUGUUUUUUCACAGGAUUACUGGGUUUUGUGUGAAGGAAACCAUGUUUAGAGGUUAUGUGUUGGUGAUACAAUUACACUGUGUUGUUGGGGAAAUGUUGAAGAUUACUGUGAGAAUGUGUAUACAAUGUGAGACACAUACUGUGUUGAAACCAGUGUCACUCCUUUUCACAGUUACAGAUGGUUAACUUUAUGACCUUUUACAGCACCUCUGGAAUCUGUUGACCUAGGCCUGACCUCCACGACGCUCCAAGGCUAAUGUUUGUUUUUCCCUAAGAGUGCUUGUGAAGGAUUCAGCACAGACAAGGGACGUUAGAGCAGAUGUGCAGUGAUUAGAGGACAAUUUUAAUGUUGGGCCUAUUAUCUGACUACUAUUGAGCUCAUACUGAUGAAAUGAGUAAGUGACACAACUUAAGGAAGGUCACCGAUUAUGGUAAUGUGGAAUAAACACAUGGAUGAUCCUUGAAUUGGGGCAAAUUAUGGCAAUAGUAGUGGUUUAAUGAUUUGGAAAUAAACUGCCUAUAGCACUUGUGUUUGUGAUGCUGAAUACUUUAUUACUCUUAUGACCUACAGUUGCUUGCAAUUGUGAAGUUUGAUUUAACUUACAGAUCUUGUUUUCCAGGCAAUGAUAGUGUGGAUGCAGGCUCCAGGCAGAGCCAGGAGUUAAGCAAACUUAAUAUGCAAAACACACUAACAUCUUUUGACACAGGUUUACAGGUCCGGAGUGGAGCUACUCCAGAGGAGAAGCCCUGAUGUUACCUGGGACAUGAUCUAGCUAACCUUUUCCUUAAGAGAGGAGCCUAGUUCUGAUGAGUUGACUCAUGGCAAAAGACCAUGUGUCAAAGGGGGGAUUCCAGAAUUAACAUGAAACAAUGUUUUCUAUGUUUUCUGUGAUUUUUAUGGUGAUUUGUGUGAUUAACAGUUCAUUUGCAGGUAUUAAACCAAUACAGGUGGUGCAUCCAUGUUCAGAUAAUGGUUUGAUGACCCAUAAGUAAAGUUCAUUAAACUGAAAGGAAAAUGUGGAUUAAUGUUGGUUGAUGUGUUUUCCAUAUGUUUAGAGUUUUUUCCUUCUAGUAAGGAGAUACAGGUGCAGCAGCCAGAGUAAUUGCUGGAAGAAAUCAUCUCCAGACUGAGGUUGAGGCUGGGUGCUGAUCAGAAGUCUUCAGAGACCCAGCAAGAAGUAAGGACCAUUCCAGGCAUAGCUGGAAGCCCAGGCAGUGGUUGAGGUUGAAGGUCGUGCUGUUUGGGGCCCUACUAGUCAUCAUGAGAAGAUUCCGGAACCACAGCAAUAACUAUAAGGCUACGUUGGAAUGAGAGCUGUCCCACGGGGGCUUUCCAGGGAUCAUCAAGAGGAGAUUGUGGACAACAGACGGGCAUCUGAAGGAUGAGGGGAGCAUGCCAAGCUCCAAUUGACUGCGCAGAGGGAGUUCAAGGAUGGCAUCAUGAUUCUGUGAACAGCACAGAAACCAGGAGCUAGGGUGGUGAUGAGGAAUGACCGAUGGCAAUUUCCCAAGAACAUCACCUAAUGCUGUGUCACUGUGCUAUGCAUACUUUGAUACUCUGAAGAGGGUCUUCCUUUGUGUCAUUGUUGUUGUCAUUUUCAUCAUGACCACUUCCACAAGACUGCUGAAGUGAUUCAACAGGUGGGAUCAUAACAGCAGUAAAACAACUGGAUCCAAUACCCUUUCAAUUCUGCAGAGAUGAAAGGACAAUAGAGGAGUCAUAGGUGCAGAUAAUCCACCACUUGACUCUAUCCCCCCACAGGAAGAAUGCCUGAAGUGAGGUGAUGGGAGUUGGUAGAAGCCAUUAAAAAAAAUGGCUGACCAGGCCUACAGCUUUAAUGAUAGCUGAAAGCCACAUUGACAAACAACAAAACCAACUGCUAUGUGUGUAUCUCUCUUUCUACAUACAUUUGGACUCUGGCCAUAUGGACAAUGAUGGAUAAACAACUGGAAGAGACAUUUAUGAAGCUCUGCAGAACUCGACCGCUCUGCAGAGAGAUGUGUGAUUUACACACCUGGGGAAUACACCACAAAGCUGCAAUGAUUUUGAAAAUGUUAAUUCCUGUGUUUGACUAUUAGCAAUUCAUUUGCUUACUUGUAGGAUGCGGUUUACUGUUAUAUGAGCUCAAUGAGGAAUAAGAUAACUGCUAACACAUUUGUCAACUGUGUACUUUUACAGUAAUUUGGGGUGAAUUACAGCUUUUGUGUGUAAAAAUGCCUGCACUGAAACUGUCAAACACAAGGGGUUCAUAACUAGACAAUUUCUAGCACAAAUGUCAAACAGAUGGGAAAUGUCAGAGUUAUAGUGUUGGAUUGUCAUUUAUGCUUAGAAACAUAUACUCAUAUAUGCUUAGAGGUAUAUAAUCAAUUGUAUAAUGAUAGAAUGUCUGAUCCUUAGUAGUCUGCAAAGACUCUGUGUGCCUUCCAGAGUGUUCUGGCACACUCACACAUCCUAAGGUCAUGAGAGAGGUCGUACCUUCUCUUUCUGAUAUAUACUUGGGAGGACACCUACUCUGUAUCUGUUUAAGUAUAAGAGGCCUUUGUUUAGGUGGACCGCUGGACUCCUAGCACUGGCUUAUGCCUGUGUAAGAUGUCACAUGUUAAUGAACCUGUGCAUAUUCAUGUGUGUAAACAAUAAAAGCAGCCUGCAGGGGGAAGGAAGUUGAAGUGGGUUGGAGACAACUGCUUCCCUCUCGCGAGUGAAAACUUGAGCUCUGUGUGACCUCGUUCCUCAGUGACUUUCUGUUUAUCCAGCAGUAUCAGGGGUAAAACUCUGACAACAGCUUCUCUUUGAUUCUGUAUGUUAGUAUCUGAGUGUAGCAGUCCAAAUCCAAAACUAUACUACGAUGCACAUCUGUGGGCAACAAAACACAAAUAUCUGACACAAACCACGAGGCAGCUGUGCAAUAUAAAAUAAUGGGGCUACAUGAGCCUUAAAGUGUUUAGUAAAGUGCUGUGUUGGACUGGUGCUCAUGGCCAGAGUUAAGUUACAUCAAGUGUAGCAGAGAUUUGUUGCAUUUCAGCUGAUAAUGCUUAGAUUGAUUCACUCAGUUCAAUCUAUAUACCAACGUUCUCCUGUCUAGUAUAAAGAUUUGAUAGUGUGCUGUCAGCGUAGGGGAUGGAAAUUAGCCAAGGUAGCUGUGAAACGUCUGUUUCCAUCUUUUUGAGUUCAGCUGUUUAAAUGAACAAAGAGCAGCAGGUCAGCUGAUCACAGCCUGUACUGAAGCUGUGAGCUGUGAUUCUGUUCUCCAUGCUGUUGCGGGUUAAAAUAUUGAGGAUGAGUACAAAAACAACACUGGUCCAGAAGAGUUGGUCAAACAAUAAUUUUUACUGAACACACGCGUGGGGAGAUGAACACUGCACACACCAGCUGUAGAUCUCCGCCCAAGACUACACAAGCAGUUGUUUUUAUAACAUCAGGGUUGGACGCCCCCUCUUGCGUCAAGCAGGUACAAUACAUGCAUAAGUUUCACAACCACAAAUGUUCUGUUGAUGACUUUUGACACAUUUAAAAAGAACAUUUUCUCCGUCUCGAGGCCAGGUGCUUCCUGUUAAUCUUCUAACUCUCGCUUAUCUCCUGGAACAAACUGUCCCUUAUGCAGACAUAAUUUUGCAGCUACAAGGUUUUGCAAACUAUUAUUUGAACUCUUACCUAAACAUGAGUCUAACUACUGUUUGUGUGUGUGUGUGUGUGUCUCGACCUCAAAAUGCACUCUGCCUCACCCCGCCGACAACCUUACAGACAGAGGCCAACUCUCAUGUGUGUAAUAACAUGAAUGAAACUAUAUAUGUAAUAUGUUGAAUAAAUGUUUUAAUUAAAUGCCACUACUCAAAGCUUAAUAAAAAGGAUAUAAAUGAAUAAAAGAUAAUAAUGAAUAACGUGGUAUAUGUGUUUUGUAGGCGUGUAGGCAAUCUUUUCAUAGCUCAAAGUCACUUACACAAUAGAUUGUCUGGACAUAGCGCCAAACAAAGCUUACGACCCUCAAUUAAUUAACUGAGCUUCAACUCUUUAAUAGGCACA